rnacentral:rRNA from 1 species
CACUACAUGAAGAUAUCUAGCGUUCCACCCCCGCACACGUAUAAAUGAGCGACCAAAACCCUAGUCCAUUCUUCCCACCGCCGCCUGGCCCGUUGCCGCUCCGCGUCCACCGAAGAAUCACCAAUGGCUCCGAUGUCGAAGAUGGCGCUCGGCAUAAAGCGGGCGUCGAGAUCGCACACCUACCACCGCCGCGGGCUUUGGGCCAUCAAGGCCAAGCACGGCGGCGCCUUCCCCAAGGCCGAGAAGCCGGCCGCCGUCGCCGAGCCCAAGUUCUAUCCCGCUGAUGAUGUCAAGCCACGCACCGUCAGCACACGCAAACCCCAUCCCACCAAGCUCAGAUCGACCAUCACACCGGGCACGGUGCUGAUCCUGCUCGCGGGGAGGUACAUGGGGAAGCGCGUGGUGUUCCUCAAGCAGCUCAAGUCCGGCCUUCUCCUCAUCACUGGACCUUUCAAGAUCAAUGGCGUGCCAAUCCGCAGAGUGAACCAGACUUACGUCAUUGCCACAUCCACAAAGGUCGACAUCUCUAAGGUUAAUGUGCAGAAGUUUGAUGACAAGUACUUUGCUAGGGAGAAGAAGACUAGGGCAAAGAAGACUGAGGGCGAGCUAUUUGAGUCGGAGAAGGAGGCAACCAAGAAUUUGCCAGACUUCAAGAAGGAUGACCAGAAGGUCAUUGAUGCCGAGUUGAUCAAGGCUAUCGUUGCUGUCCCAGACCUUAAAAAUUAUCUUGGUGCCCGGUUCUCUCUCAGGGAUGGCGACAAGCCGCAUGAGAUGACCUUCUAAGUUACCUGGUGUUGUGGUAUGUAUUUGCAACUAGGUCAACAUUACUACGGUGGUCCUUAUUUGCAGAGCUUGGACAGUGUUGUGAUUUCGUUGGGGCAUGUCAGUAGUCUUCAACAAUCCGUUCCCCUAAAAGUGCUCCAGCAGAUCUUGUAAACGUGGGUAAUUUCUGGUUUAGGGAAAGUUGGGCCAAAAAAGAGCUCCAACAGAUCUUGUAAUCUUGGUACUAGUAUCAACAGCCACACUUAUUCUGGCAGAGUGCGUACAAUCUGAUACUCCCUCUUAUGUGAAAUAUGUUUUGUGGUUUAAGUUCUUCUUUGAACUAAAACCGCAACACUUAUGUUGGCACUUAUGGAAGCAUCGUAAC